CUUAUGAAGUAUCUAAUUUACGUUUUUUUUGUUUCAAAGAUACCCCUCGUAUAUUUCUUCGUUAUUCAAAAAUACCCCCACGUACUAUUAGUAUUAGUUAAGUCAUUCCGAAUUAAAGCCGGGUUAAAUUUUUACUAGAAUUUUAAAAAAAUUAAAAUACCUAUUUUAUCCUUCAUUUAAGAGCAAAUAAGAAAAGUUGGUGAUGGUAGAAGCGUAUAUUCGAAAUGACAAAAAAAUCAAAAUACUUAUUUUGUCCCUAACUUAAGGACAAAUAGGAAAAGUUGGUGACGGUAAAGUUGUAAUUUCAUAUAAAUAAUAGUUGUUGCCAAUAGUUCAUUUACAGAAUUUAACUCUAAGUUUCUAAAAAUAUAUUUGAAAUAAUUUGGAACGCUAAAAUAGUAUUUUUAAUAUUAGACUUUUUAGAGAGAUAAAUUAAAAAGUCAGAAACGCAAUUGUUCCAAAAACAUAAGCCCUAAAAAAAUAUAGGGUAAAAUAGGGCUUUCCAAAAGAACGCAAUUAUCAGGGCUUUUUUUGCAUUUAGACCUCUCAAAAAAAAUUUCAUAAAUAAUUCCAUGAAAUUUAUAUUUACAAGAUUCACGCUAUCCUCACCAUGUGAGCGCCACGGGAGCGUCACGUAGGGAUAGUGAUAGAUUAAGUUAAACACGGUGAAUCAUUCACCGUACGUGUCCUUCCUAAAUCUUAAAUUUCAAAUAUUACGUAAUAUUAUGAUAGAAAAAAAAAUAAUAAAAUACGGUGAAUCAUUCACCGUGUCCAAACACAGUGAAUAAUUCACCGUAUUUAAUUUAAUCUACGUCGCCAUCCACGCUCGCGUGACACUGGCAUGACGCUUACGUGGUUGAAAUAG
rnacentral:lncRNA from 1 species